UAGGCGCGCCUUCGUCGUCGAGUUGCGGAUAAUAGCCCGUGAUAAAAUAUAACCUUUAACCUACUACGCAACCCGGCAUUUUAGUUUCAAUUAUUAGGAAAGUUUAACAAAACAUGUAGCACGACAACGUCACACAUUGUUAGAGACUGGCUCGAGUACGGCCACUUGGGUCUAGUAUUAGGUGCCGCAAUUUUCGACUACGUGUGCGGUAUCUAUUUGCCAUUUGGAGCGCAGUGGAGACCAAUCCUUAGUCUAAGACUAUAUCAUUAUCUGUGGGUGAAGUUUACAAUGCUGCUACUGACACUGCUUGACAUAACUACUAUGUCAUAACAAAAUACCAUACAAUGUUGUGAUUUACUUAUAUUUCAGUUUAUUAUUAAAAUAUAUUAUUAGUUAUGAUUAUGUUUUCUAAUAACAGACAACUCGACCACAACGAGAUAGAGUUCAAAAGACGAGCUUUACGGGACGCUGUCAUGUGUAUUGGAUGGAUUAAACUGACAUCAAUAAUAUGUUAUAUGACAUUGUACUCCUUCGUCAAUGUAUAUAGUACGGGAGAUGGAUCUAUGACUAUAAAAAUUAUGAUUUUAAUAACAAUACCUUUGUACAUAGCAAAUGGGGUAUUACUCUUAGUUGGAGCGAUAAAGGAGAAACUGUGGGCUCUUGAUGUGUCACUCGGAUUGUGUCUUAUCUGCGCUAUUUAUAACUCGGUCCUGGGUUCCUUUGGAGGGUUGCAUUUUAUAAGAUUUGGACAUGAUAUUGUACAUUUUGUAUUGGCUUCUAUUUUCGGAUUGAUGACAAUUUCUUCAUGUACCAUCAUAUGCUAUGACAUAGUAUUGGUUGUCAUCUACAAAAGAUUCCUGCAGUCUACAAGUCAUGAUAAUGUAUAAGUGGAUGUUUAAAAGUUACCGACGUCUUUUAAAAUAAAGUUUAAAUGAAAUUGCA